rnacentral:rRNA from 1 species
CAGCCGCCACGGGAAUACAGAGGGUGCAAGCGUUAAUCGGAUUUACUGGGCGUAAAGGGCGCGUAGGUGGUUAUUUAAGUGAGAUGUGAAAGUCCCGGGCUUAACCUGGGAACUGCAUCUUAUACUGGGUAACUGGAGUGCAGUAGAGGGUAGUGGAAUUUCCGGUGUAGCGGUGAAAUGCGUAGAUAUCGGAAGGAACACCAGUGGCGAAGGCGGCUACCUGGACUGAGACUGACACUGAGGCGCGAGAGCGUGGGGAGCAAACAGGAUUAGAUACCCCGGUAGUCCCUGUCUCUUAUAC